UCUAGCGAAUAAAAAUCGCAACUAGAACAACAAACGAAUAGAAAAUUUUUGUUCUUCGAAAGUUCCAAUUGAAAGGUUAACAUAAUUUGAUUAACUGAUCACAAUUUAUUUUUUUCUAAAUCAUUUUCGUAAAUUGGAUUUAAAUCAUUCAUCAGAUUAUAUGGUUAAAGUGAAAUGAGGAGAACAGGUAAUCAGAUUAAAAAGAUUAUUCAUAUUAACCUUAAUUUACAUUUUCAUUAUCCUCAUUUAUAAUUGGACUUCCAUUUUUAAUCAACUUGAUGGUUAAUUGGUAAAAAUUUGCUUUCAAAAAAGUGUCAACGGUUUUUGCUUGGUCACUUGUUGAUGUCUUUGUUUUGAUAAUUUAUAUAAAUUGUGGACCACUAAUCGUGUUAUCUGGUUGAUUUAUCUUUCCGGUUUCCUGGUUUACUUUUCAAGGUGUUUACAUUUUCAUCGUUACAAUUUAUCUAAAUUUUAAAAGGCUCAAUGAUAACGUUUUCCUCUAGUGUCAACAUUGGUUGUUAAACUUUAACUUUAACAAUUAAUCACUAAUCUACCAAUUGUAUUGCACUUAAUUGUUGCUGUUGUUGUUUUUUCUACACUAAUUUACCAAUACGAUAAUGAUUAGAUUAAUGAGAUGAAUCAUCCAAGAGGAUGGAAGCCUUAAUCUUACAAGUAAACCUUAAAUCUACACCCAGCAAAUUUUUUAAGGCAAAUUACAUUUUCAAUCUUGUUUGAUUGUUUGUAAUUUAGAGAUGACAAUUGACUAAGUCGUAACUCUAAUCCCUCUGACCCAUAAAAAAACGCAACCAAAGACGUUGAAAGAUAAUGAAGCUGACAAAUUGAUUAAACAGCUGAUUAAGAUGAUGAUGAUGUUAAUUAAUCACAUUUCCAUUGCUAUUUUAACUGAAUACCGUUAGAUAAAUAUAAUGGUUUCUAAUGAUAAACCGGUAUGAAAAGAAUCGAGAUGAUAACUUAUUUGGAUUAUACUUGAUGAUGGAUUGAUUAACUUACCUUCAUCAUCAUCAACUUCAUCUUUUUGUUAUCACUUAAAUUGAUUAAGAUGACAAAAAUAACUAUUACAAUAAGUUAAUUUGAUUCAGACUUUCAGAUGUACAUUAAUAUAUAAAUAUUAUCUGUUUCCUCUGUGGAAAUCAAGGUGACAACCAUGAGGAGAUGAUGAAAAAUUAGUUGAACACUAUUACGAUUGUAUGUUGAUUACUCUUUCGUUGAUUGUUUUGGCUACAAUCAAAUUAAUCACCUUGGAUUUAACAAUUACCUGUUGUCAUUUCUUUACUCUUUCUUCAAUCAACAUUAUUAUCAAAUUAACCAACCUGUUUUUCAAUUCAACAGUAAUUUCAAGAUGAUUGUCAACCGUUUCAUUGAUAAUACAACAAAUUAGGUUAAAUGACGAGCUGAUUAUCAAAUCUCAUCUUUAUCACGUUAUUGUUGAAAUAACCUUUUUUAAAGUACUCAAAUCACUGUGGUAAUAACAAUGGUGACAAUUAGCCAUCAAUCAUUUAAUUAACAUGAAAAAAACGAUGACAAUCAAAACAAAAAGGUAACAAUUAACUUCUGUUGAGAUGAUAACAAUUAACCAGCUACAAAUCCAGUUGUUAAAUGUCCCAUGGAUAAAUGGAUGAAAUUAAGUCACAAUAAAUAUCCGAUAAUUGGUGAAAAUUCACAAGGAGGAAAAUUGUUGUAACAAUUUAGGAAAAGCACAAUUCAAUUGGUUAAUUUGAAAACAAAUAACAUGAAGAAGUUAAAAAGUGACAACAAUUAGUUGAAUUAUUUCAUCAAUUGUUUUUCAAUUGUCUCUCUUCUCAUCAUCAUCACCAUGUUGUUUCAUUCUUAAUAUUCAUCAAUAACAACAUCAAAUUGAAACGCCAACAACAAUCUUCAUCAUCAUAAUCAUUAUCAUCUUCAACUUGAAACACGUUCAACAACAACUAUCAGCACCUUAAACCAUCAAUUGAAUGACACAUUAAGCCAACUCACAACAACAGUGUUUCUGAAUAAACUGUUUCACCAGCGAUUCCAAUAGACACACUUAUUUACCUGUAUUUUUCCUCCUCAUUACUACCCCUUCUCUCUCAUAAACACUUUUCUCUCUCACUCUUCAUCUCUCAUCCCCUCCUACGUUUCUUUCUCACCUUUAUUUACCUCUUUCCAUUUCUCUCUCUCUCUCUCUCUCUCUCUCUCUCUCUCUCCAAUUUCAAUUUGACAAACGAAUGAAAAUCAAAUAACAAACAAUCAAAACCGAUUGCCAGGAAAUUCGAGCAUCGAGGUCACCAAUUAAAUCACAAUCGAAUCAAUUAUUUCUCUUUCUCUUUCCAGCAUUUUCUUCAAACUUACGAAAUAAUUUGUCUCUUUCUUUCGAUUUCUUACCUAUCUUUAUCAUUUCUAUCGAGUCCAACAAUUAUCAUCAUCAAAAAGAUAAAGUUAACUCUCAUCAUCAACUGAUUUGAACAUCAACAUCAUGAGUAUAAUCAAAGCAUCAACAAUAUCGUCACGCAAAGAUGAUCGACUAAAUUACAUACUCUUGCUUAAAGGGUAUUUAAUCGACCUUUUCUCUCUCUCUCUCUCUCAUCAUCAUCAUCAUCACCAUCAACUUUAUCUCCAUCAUUUUCCUAAAAAAGUCCCAAAAAAAGGUUAGUUUGGAAAAAGAGAUAAAUUCAAAUGUGAAUGGAUUGGGCGACAUUAAAAUUGUCUCUUGAUCAUAUUCAUUAAUUAAAAGCAACUAUUCAUAAUCAAAUCAUUAGUAAACAUCCGAACGAUUAAAUAUUAUUCAUAAUAUAAUAUUAAUUGUCACUAAUCUAAAUGAUAAUGGUGAUGAUAAAAAUAUCUCCCUAUGUGUGUAAACGCCUUUGACUUUAAUUGUCGUCAUUUUCAUGUUGAUAUAAUCUAAUUCCUUUUAAUUGAAUAUUUUCAUCAUUAAAUGGAUUCUAUUUAUCUGAUCAUUAAGAAUCUUAAUCACCUUCGAUAUUAAUCAACCAACGAAAAUAAUUUAAUCAUCUUCAGGUUAGUUAACCAACAAUAGUUCAAUAUAACAAUCAUCAGCUACUUGUGACCAAUCAACAAAUCACCAUAAACCACUAACAUACUUUAACAAUUAACUAAUUGAAAAUUUCCCUCUCACUCUUAUUAUCAAUCUAUUUUAAGAUUAAUGAUUAACAAUUUGAUUCAAUUUACUUGUUAGCAACACUUUUUAAUUCACUUUAAUCAUAAACUGAUCAACAACUGAAAAUAAAUCACUAUUCCCUUAACUAAUAUAAAUUGUUAUUUGUAUUGCUUGAAUUGUUCAAGGCCAACAAUUAACAGAGUAACUUUGAUUUACUUUCACUUCAAGAGUGUUGAUGAAAUUUAAUUUUCUAUCAUGUUUCUCAUUGUUAAUUGUAAUGUAAAUCAUUGUUUGAUGAUUAGACCGGGGAACUGAAUCAACAAUCAGCACAGUUUAUGCAACGAAAGUAAUAAUGAAACAAAAAGAGGAACCAGUCUAAUUGUGAUCGUUAUAAAUUUGAUUACUAUUAUUAUCAAAUGUAUCGACAGAUUAAAUCAAGAAUUUUAAGUUUUUUGUCUAAUCAAAACUACUCAUUCAUGUGAUUUAAUGAAAUAUGACCUGAGUACUUCGGGUAAUUAUGUUUAUUAUCAACAUCGAUUAAACAAUAAAUGGCAUCACCGAAAGGCGCAUCUAAGAUUUGAGCUAAGGUUUCAGCGAUCAUCAUACCAACAAAAAUUUCGCAUUAAAUUGAGCUUUAAAAUUUGAAUCUUUGGCCCUGUUAACCAGAGCCCAUGAUAACGUAUAACCAACACGAGGCAUUGAGAACAUGAAGAAGUGGCAUUUGAUAGAGACGAAGAAGUCUUGACUCGACAACGUCGUAAAUGGAAGUGGCUUAAUUAAUUCGGAAAUUAGAAAAACUUAUUCAUCUAAGAUCAAUGUUCCAACAGUAUUUGGGGGUUAAAGGAUGAACGUC